rnacentral:rRNA from 1 species
AGUGAACGCUGGCGGUAGGCCUAACACAUGCAAGUCGAACGGAAGCACAGUAAGAGCUUGCUCUUACGGGUGGCGAGUGGCGGACGGGUGAGGAAUACAUCGGCAUCUACUUUUUCGUGGGGGAUAACGUAGGGAAACUUACGCUACUACCGCAUACGACCUACGGGUGAAAGCAGGGGAUCUUCGGACCUUUCGCGAUUGAAUGAGCCGAUGUCGGAUUAGCUAGUUGGCGGGGUAAAGGCCCACCAAGGCGACGAUCCGUAGCUGGUCUGAGAGGAUGAUCAGCCACACUGGAACUGAGACACGGUCCAGACUCCUACGGGAGGCAGCAGUGGGGAAUAUUGGACAAUGGGCGCAAGCCUGAUCCAGCCAUACCGCGUGGGUGAAGAAGGCCUUCGGGUUGUAAAGCCCUUUUGUUGGGAAAGAAAAGCAGCAGGUGAAUACCCCGCUGUUCUGACGGUACCCAAAGAAUAAGCACCGGCUAACUUCGUG